GAUGAACGCUGGCGGCGUGCCUAACACAUGCAAGUCGAGCGAUUCUCUUCGGAGAAGAGCGGCGGACGGGUGAGUAACGCGUGGGUAACCUGCCCUGUACACACGGAUAACAUACCGAAAGGUAUGCUAAUACGAGAUAAUAUGCUUUUAUCGCAUGGUAGAAGUAUCAAAGCUUUUGCGGUACAGGAUGGACCCGCGUCUGAUUAGCUAGUUGGUAAGGUAACGGCUUACCAAGGCGACGAUCAGUAGCCGACCUGAGAGGGUGAUCGGCCACAUUGGAACUGAGACACGGUCCAAGCUCCUACGGGAGGCAGCAGUGGGGAAUAUUGCACAAUGGGCGAAAGCCUGAUGCAGCAACGCCGCGUGAACGAUGAAGGCCUUCGGGUCGUAAAGCUCUGUCCUCAAGGAAGAUAAUGACGGUACUUGAGGAGGAAGCCCCGGCUAACUACGUGCCAGCAGCCGCCGUAA
rnacentral:rRNA from 1 species